rnacentral:rRNA from 1 species
GACGAACGCUGGCGGCGUGCCUAAUACAUGCAAGUCGAACGGAGUGGCGCCCGGGUGAGUAAUGUAUAGCUAAUCUUCCCUACACUAAAGGACAACAGUUGGAAACGGAUGCUAAUACUCUAUAGUGUAGGAUGAGGCUAUAUUGUAUCAGCUAGUUGGUUAGGUAAUGGCUCACCAAGGCUAUGACGCAUAACUGGUCUGAGAGGCUGAUCAGUCACACUGGAACUGAGACACGGUCCAGACUCCUACGGGAGGCAGCAGUAGGGAAUAUUGCUCAAUGGGGGAAACCCUGAAGCAGCAACGCCGCGUGGAGGAUGACACUUUUCGGAGCGUAAACUCCUUUUGUUAGGGAAGCGGUACCUAACGAAUAAGCACCGGCUAACUCCGUGCCAGCAGCCGCGGUAAUAC